GAUUUUCAGCAAUAAAAAUUCUGUAGAGAAUUUUCUCUCAAUUUUCACUUUGUGUGUGAGUGUGUGUUUUCUUUGAGCUUCACGCUGCAUCAUGUUCAAUUUCACAUUUUCAUCAUUAUAACAAACUUACUAGAAUUAACAACUAAAAUAAGAAGGAAACCCAUUUAGGGGUGCGGUGGGAAUGAAGCAAAAUGAAAAUGGAAAAUCCGGCACUUCAUUGUCAAAUUAUAUAGCCACCACUAUGCUCUUCAAACUUAGUAUGUCUUGAUGUUCAAACUUCCAAAAUCUCAUCACUAGUUAUAGGGUCACAGGAAUUCUAUUUUAUUUUAUUUAUUUAUCCUGUUUCUUGGCCUCCUUAUUUUUACAAGGAUCCUAAGACCUUUUCUAUUUUAAAAAAUUAAUGGCUUUUGGUAGUGAUAAUAGUAGAAAUAAAGAUGAUGACGAUGAUAACCGAGAGUAAGAAGAGAGACAUAUUCAAUCCACAGGUUGAUCUAACUCAACACACAAUACACUAGGGUUAGGAUUAGUACAUAUGGAACCAAAUCUAAAGACAACAGAUACUUGAAUGACCUAAAUUUGAAAUGCCCAGCCCAAUCAACAUAUGUAAUUAGAACAUCACAUAUAUCAUUAUCAUACAAAAGACAGUAAAAGCAAAUGAAAAUCACAAAUGGAAAAAAACGAGUGUUGGGUAGUGAAGAAACGACACAUUCCAAUAUUGCAUCGCAAAUAUUAGAGAGAACUAAAAUGGAUGUGAGGAUAUGCAAAGAUAAAAUCCAUAUGUAACGCAUUCAUAGGAAGGUGGAAGUGGCAACUAACAUGCACACAUG
rnacentral:misc_RNA from 1 species